rnacentral:misc_RNA from 1 species
AAGUCGUAACAAGGUUUUCGUAGGUGAACCUGCGGAAGGAUCAUUAGUGAAUUCUUGGGAGUCCCUCUUAACCGGAGAAGGCCCAAUCCACUAUUUUACACACCCUUUGUGCAUUCGUCCCUUUUUUAAUUACCUUUUAACCCUUGUGCAUUAGAAAAGGUUGUGAUGUAAACUUUGAUAAUUUUGAAAGAAAAACUUUCAGCAAUGGAUCUCUUGGCUCUC